rnacentral:lncRNA from 1 species
CAAAUACAUAAACUCCUUCUCCUUUCUUCCCCCUCCCGUCAUUUGUUUCUUUGUUUGUGUGCUCUGCACCUCCCGUGCUCGUUCUAAUAUCAAGUAAAAUACUACGGUGCCGUGACUCACAUUUGCGAAUAGACCUGAGGACCAUAAUUCAAGUCGCGCGUAACGUCGAAAGAAUCAUCUGCAAAAAAAUGGGUGCAACACGAGGACU